GACGAACGCUGGCGGCGUGCUUAACACAUGCAAGUCGAACGGAAAGGCCCUGCUUUUGUGGGGUGCUCGAGUGGCGAACGGGUGAGUAACACGUGAGUAACCUGCCCUUGACUUUGGGAUAACUUCAGGAAACUGGGGCUAAUACCGGAUAGGGGCUCCUGCUGCAUGGUGGGGGUUGGAAAGUUUCGGCGGUUGGGGAUGGACUCGCGGCUUAUCAGCCUGUUGGUGGGGUAGUGGCUUACCAAGGCUUUGACGGGUAGCCGGCCUGAGAGGGUGACCGGCCACAUUGGGACUGAGAUACGGCCCAGACUCCUACGGGAGGCAGCAGUGGGGAAUAUUGCACAAUGGGCGGAAGCCUGAUGCAGCAACGCCGCGUGCGGGAUGACGGCCUUCGGGUUGUAAACCGCUUUCGCCUGUGACGAAGCGUGAGUGACGGUAAUGGGUAAAGAAGCACCGGCUAACUACGUG
rnacentral:rRNA from 1 species